rnacentral:lncRNA from 1 species
CAAAAUUUUUUUUGACGCCACCACUGCAAAAAAAAAAAAUUGCGUAGCUUGCACUGGAGGCGCAAUGCCAAAGAGACAGCAGAGCUGAUGAGCACCUAUGUAAUCAUGGCUUUUGCCGUUUUGCAAAGUUUUGCAAAUUUUCUCUUUCUUUAUUCCUCUAUUCCUUUCUUCUUCUCCCUUCUCUCUGUUUUUUCUAUGUCUUUUUCUCUGUUUAUU